rnacentral:rRNA from 1 species
GAGAACGCUGGCGGCGUGCCUAAUACAUGCAAGUCGAGCGAACAGACGAGGAGCUUGCUCCUCUGACGUUAGCGGCGGACGGGUGAGUAACACGUGGAUAACCUACCUAUAAGACUGGGAUAACUUCGGGAAACCGGAGCUAAUACCGGAUAAUAUAUUGAACCGCAUGGUUCAAUAGUGAAAGACGGUUUUGCUGUCACUUAUAGAUGGAUCCGCGCCGCAUUAGCUAGUUGGUAAGGUAACGGCUUACCAAGGCAACGAUGCGUAGCCGACCUGAGAGGGUGAUCGGCCACACUGGAACUGAGACACGGUCCAGACUCCUACGGGAGGCAGCAGUAGGGAAUCUUCCGCAAUGGGCGAAAGCCUGACGGAGCAACGCCGCGUGAGUGAUGAAGGUCUUCGGAUCGUAAAACUCUGUUAUUAGGGAAGAACAAAUGUGUAAGUAACUAUGCACGUCUUGACGGUACCUAAUCAGAAAGCCACGGCUAACUACGUG